UUAAUUUGUAUUUGUGAUGAAUAUUUAGAGUAGGAAUCUCAAUGAGCUUCAGUCAUUCGUUGCUAUGAAAGCAAAUCUCUAACUGAUAAAAGUCGU